ACACACACACACACACACACACACACACACACACACACACACACACACACAUAGUUUAUAUCACUUUCCAUUUAGUGUAAUAUUUCACAGAUUUCUUCUUCCAUAAACUUUAGGAAGAACUGCAGAAUAAAUGGAGGGAAAGGGUAGAGGACUACAACCGGUCUAACAGCCCAGAACUAAAGCCUGAUGACUUUGACAUUAAUGUGACCGAUCUCAAGAUAAAGAGGCUUCCUAAAUGGCUUGUUAGAGUGUACUACAAAACAGAUGUUGCUCAAGAGGUCCAGAAGAAAGCUCAGGAAUGCUUUCGUGAGUGGUGCAGAGAAGAUGACUUUAUUAAUUACACAGAUAAAACAGACCAUCUGGCUGAAGCCCAGAAGAUUCUACUAAAUAUUGUCAAUAGACGUCUGCCAAAGUGUAUUGGAGAGGCGCGACUGAAAGAAGAAGGAUUAAAGGAAAUAGCUGGGGCCAAAGCACUGCCUGAUAAAGCCUUCAAGACCAAACUGUAUCAGGUAUCAUUCCUGUGUUAUUUAGCUCAGCUACUUAUGUUACAUUUAUCAAUAUUGUAUAAUAAGCCCCUAUACAAACACAUAAAAAAAGAAUGACAUCUAU
ensembl:lncRNA